GGACUUACACCAUCAGCUCUACUGGUUCUCAGGCCUUUGGACUCGAACUGGAACUACACCAUUGGCUCUCCUGGGUCUCCAGCUUGGCAACUGCAGGUCUUGGGACUUGUCAGCCUCCACAAUGAUGUGUGUUUCGGCAGAUGAGACCACAGGCGCUGGCCAUGCUGUACUUCCACCUGUGCCCUGGCUGCACCAUGUGGCAUGAUGAGGCUGCGGAGGGCGUUUUCCGGCAGCUGGGUGUGAGGCCCCGAUGCUGGAAUUCUACAGCCAUGAUGACCCCUCAACAAUGCUGCCUGGCUGCAGGAGUUGCUGAGUGGCUUGCAGUAGGUGAAGCCUGGGAGACCUCCUGACAUGGGGCCCACCUGCACCAGCACACCCCCACCCCACCCCCAGUACCUCAACACCCUCAAACCUUCCUGGGGAGGCAGGGCCUGGUGCCAUACCCCCCAGCCCAACUCUGAUGGGGCUCCAGCCACCCAAUGGACAGGGCAUACAGACAGGAUAGUGGAGGCGUUGAGACCUGCUUGAUUUAUUCCAAGUAUUUAAUACACAAUGACGCAACUGUGAUCCCAAAAAAAAAAAAA
rnacentral:lncRNA from 1 species